rnacentral:rRNA from 1 species
UACGUAGGGUGCGAGCGUUGUCCGGAAUUACUGGGCGUAAAGAGCUCGUAGGUGGUUUGUCGCGUUGUUCGUGAAAACUCACAGCUUAACUGUGGGCGUGCGGGCGAUACGGGCAGACUGGAGUACUGCAGGGGAGACUGGAAUUCCUGGUGUAGCGGUGGAAUGCGCAGAGUAUCAGGAGGAACACCGGUGGCGAAGGCGGGUCUCUGGGCAGUAACUGACGCUGAGGAGCGAAAGCGUGGGGAGCGAACA